AGGCGCUCUUUCGUUUUUUCUUCCUGCCACCUCACAGCCUUCUUGGAGAUAGAAAACGGCACUGGCCCGUUUGGCAACAGGACUGCAAGUGAUGGGCUUUGGCAGGUCACAUGACUUGGACACCAUCCGGGACUCCAUGCAGUUUGGAUGAUGGACUACAGCCACAGUGCAGGGCAUCUGAUUCAAGAAGGGAAACAUCUAUGUGCUUUGUUUAUUUUAUUAUUGUUAGAAAAUGAAUAUAUGCUGAUACUAAGAAAAGGAAAGAAAACUGAAAAAUUACCAGUAAUUUCCCCUCCCAGAGAUAACCACUAUAAAUGAAUAUCUGUAAGCAUCUCAGUUCUCAUUAAAAACCAAAUUUCUCUGCCA
rnacentral:lncRNA from 10 species